CUAAAAUGAAAGUAGACAUCGUCACAUGAUUAUGAUGAUAGAUGUAAGGGACGGACAAACUUAACACCAUGAACUAUAUCCGUACUGGCAUCGGUCUGUUUUUUGAGUAUGACACCCCAAGAAUCGUUCACAUACAGAGCAAAAAGGUCGGGGUGAUCAAUCGCUUCAUUCAGUUCUGUAUCAUUGGAUAUGUCAUCGGCUUUGCCAUCAUUUUCAAAAAAGGCUACCAAGACUUUGACAAUGUGCAAAGUGUUGUUACUACGAAAGUUAAAGGCAUCGUCAUGGUGAACACCACAGUCCACCCUGAUAUCCAGCCCAUCUGGGACGUAGCCGACUAUAUUGUACCACCCCAGGAGAACAAUGCUUUUUUUGUUAUAACCAAUCUCAUAGUCACCCCAAAUCAAUCAAUCGGAAUCUGUCCAGAGGACAGCAAAGUACAUGGUUCUAAUUGUACUGUUGACAAAGACUGUCCGGCAGGUACCUCACUUCCUGUUGGCAAUGGUGUUUUAACAGGAAAGUGUGACCCUGAUGUCAAUAGAUGUGAAAUCCAUGCAUGGUGUCCCGUGGAAAAUGGGACCACCGAUGCACCCAAUCCAGCUGUCUUAGAGGAUUCAAAACAAUUUACUGUAUUCAUAAAAAAUAAUAUAGAGUUUCCAAAGUAUAACGUCAAAAGGCGAAACUUGCCGGACAAUGUGAGUAACGACUAUCUCCAGAACUGUAGGUAUGACGGCGGGGCCAACUCAAGGUGUCCUAUCUUCACUCUCCAGUCCAUUGUAGAGGGGGCAAAUAGUGGAUCCUACAGAGAAGUAGCGUUUGAGGUUGUACAGAGAAUAAGGAUUGGAGGAAUUAUAAUACAAAGGGACAUUGUUAGUGGCACAGGAAGUAGAUAUGAUGAGUUGUCUUUCCAGGGAGGAGUUAUUCAGAUCAGGAUCAAAUGGAACUGUAACCUGGAUCUGUCGGAAGAUAAAUGCCUUCCGGAGUACAGUUUCAGGCGACUGGACAGCAGCACCUACAAGAUAUCAAAAGGAUACAACUUUAGAUAUUCAAGAAAUUUCAAAGAUGCCAAUGGGACAGAGUUUCGAACCCUGUAUAAAGCCUUUGGGAUCAAGUUUGUAAUCUCUGUGUCUGGACAAGCUCGGAAAUUUGCCCCUGUUCCAUUCCUUACAAACGUGGGAAGUGGCCUGGCUCUGUUGUCCAUCGCAACAGUUAUCUGUGACAUUGUGGUCCUCUACAUACUGAAGGCCAGGGCACUGUACAAAGAGAAGAAGUACCUGCAGGUGGUGGGCGAUGAUGCUUACAAGGGUAUGGUAAACGAAGAUUUGAUACACAGACAGAACUAUCAAACUAUCUCUGAUAAUGAAAAUGAUUUAUGAUCUCUCGGGAUAUUCAAAGGUGCUAGACUGAAAAAUCCAUUCCUGACAAUUCUGACGAUUGUUUGCUAUGAGAAGAUAUGCAGCAGACAGACUAUGUCUAUUCUUAUCAUUAGGGUCCAUAGAAAUGUAUGCUUGGUGGGAAGUGUUUAUUUAUUUAAAAAAUGACACACUUUUCCUUGUUUCACCUUAUGUAUUUUUGUAUAUUUACUUUUGUACGUUUUUCUUUAAUUUGUUAAUUUGGUUGGUUGGUUUAUAAGGUACGAGGUAAGGUGGGUCUGUUUAGUUUUUUUUUUCAUUACUGUAAAGAUUUGAAGUUACGUAAAUGAAUUAAAAGAUGGAUAGAAAAUUAGUGACCUGAACUUCAAGACUUCAUAUGUGGCAAUUUGUGUUUCAUUCAGAUAUUCUCUGUAUCAGUUUGAAUAAAGAAUGGGUAUGCAGAUUACUCAUCAGUAGUUUAGUACAUAACUAUCAUACGGGUUAUAUGUUCAGAAAAUUAUAGACACAACUCAGUGUUGUUUUACCGAUACUUAGACACAUUAUAAAGUCCUCUUCCAGGGCUGCGUUUUACAAAAGAACUCGCGACAGAGUCUUAAAUGUUUUCAGUCUCAUAGAAUGGUCUUUAAUAAAAAAAAAAUUAAGCUAAAACCAUUUAUUUACAACUAUUUUAUUUUCCAUAAUAUAUUUUACAGCAAUUCGAAUAAAGCAUUGAUUAGUUAGGAAUUAAUUAGCAUUCAAUAAUUUGGUCAUAAGUCGUAAGUUCCUUUGUAAAACGCAGCCCAUUUUUGUAUAUUUUCUUAGUUUAAAUAAGCUUAAUUAAUGAAUUAAUUUUGUUCCACGUUAUAAGGUCAGCGAAUUCGAUUAUUAAAAUCAAUUCAGUCAUUCAAAUGAAGAUUAUCUUCAAAUUAUUCAUUAAUAGAUAACAAAGAUGAGAAAUCUAAUUAAGUAGUAAAUAGGAUGUAGGUGUCCACAAGCGUAUAUGAAUUAUACAUGUAUCUACCAGUGGGUACACAAACUCGAUGUAUAGAAAAGGUCAUGUUCCGUGCAGCCGAGGCUAAUAAACUUGGCAUUUUUUUUAUUUUGAAUCUUCACAAGAAUUCUAACAGUAAAGCAUAUUUUAUUAGUUUAUUUAAAUAAAACAAAGUUAAUUAG